UCGCCCCUCAAGCCCCGUGCUUGGUGUUGGACGGCUUGGUCGAGCCCGCUCGACCCCUCCUAAAGACAAUGACGGCGGCCUGUGGUUCCCCCGGUACACUGAGCUUUUCACCGAGCACGUAUCGGACAAGGGCGCCCAGGACCCGGUCCUCUCCUUUCAAUAGGAAACUUCUAA
rnacentral:misc_RNA from 1 species